rnacentral:rRNA from 1 species
GCUGUGGUAUUUUGACUAUACAAAGGUAUUGAAAUAAGGCUUUUAUUGGGUGCUAAGAGAAUGGUUAGACAAGGAUUGACUUUCUUUUAACUUAAAAUUGAAUUUAAUUUAAAAAUGAAAAAGUUUUUAUGUAUUUUUGGGACAAGAAGACCCUAUGAAUUUUUCUUGUGUGUUGAUUUAUAAUUUUUUAAAAGAGGGUGAAGUUUUUUCAUAAGUUGAUUGGGGUGAUUUUUAAAGUAUAGGUAUCUUUAAAAUUAGAAGUAAUUGGAACCAAAAAUUUUGGUUUUUUGAAAAAAAUACUCUAGGGAUAACAGCGUUAUUAUUUCGGAUAGUUCAUAUAGAUGAAAUAGUUUGCGACCUCGAUGUUGGAUUAAGAUUCUUGUGUAGUGAAGUAGCUACAUUAAGGAGUUUGCUCAACUUUUAAAUUCUUACUUGAUCU